rnacentral:rRNA from 1 species
GGGUUGUGAGGUUAAGCGACUAAGCGUACACGGUGGAUGCCCUGGCAGUCAGAGGCGAUGAAGGACGUGCUAAUCUGCGAUAAGCGUCGGUGAGGUGAUAUGAACCGUUAUAACCGGCGAUUUCCGAAUGGGGAAACCCAGUGUGUUUCGACACACUAUCAUUAACUGAAUCCAUAGGUUAAUGAGGCGAACCGGGGGAACUGAAACAUCUAAGUACCCCGAGGAAAAGAAAUCAACCGAGAUUCCCCCAGUAGCGGCGAGCGAACGGGGAGCAGCCCAGAGCCUGAAUCAGUGUGUGUGUUAGUGGAAGCGUCUGGAAAGGCGCGCGAUACAGGGUGACAGCCCCGUACACAAAAAUGCACAUACUGUGAGCUCGAUGAGUAGGGCGGGACACGUGGUAUCCUGUCUGAAUAUGGGGGGACCAUCCUCCAAGGCUAAAUACUCCUGACUGACCGAUAGUGAACCAGUACCGUGAGGGAAAGGCGAAAAGAACCCCGGCGAGGGGAGUGAAAAAGAACCUGAAACCGUGUACGUACAAGCAGUGGGAGCCUCUUAAUGGGGUGACUGCGUACCUUUUGUAUAAUGGGUCAGCGACUUAUAUUCUGUAGCAAGGUUAACCGAAUAGGGGAGCCGAAGGGAAACCGAGUCUUAACUGGGCGUUAAGUUGCAGGGUAUAGACCCGAAACCCGGUGAUCUAGCCAUGGGCAGGUUGAAGGUUGGGUAACACUAACUGGAGGACCGAACCGACUAAUGUUGAAAAAUUAGCGGAUGACUUGUGGCUGGGGGUGAAAGGCCAAUCAAACCGGGAGAUAGCUGGUUCUCCCCGAAAGCUAUUUAGGUAGCGCCUCGUGAAUUCAUCUCCGGGGGUAGAGCACUGUUUCGGCAAGGGGGUCAUCCCGACUUACCAACCCGAUGCAAACUGCGAAUACCGGAGAAUGUUAUCACGGGAGACACACGGCGGGUGCUAACGUCCGUCGUGAAGAGGGAAACAACCCAGACCGCCAGCUAAGGUCCCAAAGUCAUGGUUAAGUGGGAAACGAUGUGGGAAGGCCCAGACAGCCAGGAUGUUGGCUUAGAAGCAGCCAUCAUUUAAAGAAAGCGUAAUAGCUCACUGGUCGAGUCGGCCUGCGCGGAAGAUGUAACGGGGCUAAACCAUGCACCGAAGCUGCGGCAGCGACACUGUGUGUUGUUGGGUAGGGGAGCGUUCUGUAAGCCUGUGAAGGUGUGCUGUGAGGCAUGCUGGAGGUAUCAGAAGUGCGAAUGCUGACAUAAGUAACGAUAAAGCGGGUGAAAAGCCCGCUCGCCGGAAGACCAAGGGUUCCUGUCCAACGUUAAUCGGGGCAGGGUGAGUCGACCCCUAAGGCGAGGCCGAAAGGCGUAGUCGAUGGGAAACAGGUUAAUAUUCCUGUACUUGGUGUUACUGCGAAGGGGGGACGGAGAAGGCUAUGUUGGCCGGGCGACGGUUGUCCCGGUUUAAGCGUGUAGGCUGGUUUUCCAGGCAAAUCCGGAAAACUAAGGCUGAGGCGUGAUGACGAGGCACUACGGUGCUGAAGCAACAAAUGCCCUGCUUCCAGGAAAAGCCUCUAAGCAUCAGGUAACAUCAAAUCGUACCCCAAACCGACACAGGUGGUCAGGUAGAGAAUACCAAGGCGCUUGAGAGAACUCGGGUGAAGGAACUAGGCAAAAUGGUGCCGUAACUUCGGGAGAAGGCACGCUGAUAUGUAGGUGAAGUCCCUCGCGGAUGGAGCUGAAAUCAGUCGAAGAUACCAGCUGGCUGCAACUGUUUAUUAAAAACACAGCACUGUGCAAACACGAAAGUGGACGUAUACGGUGUGACGCCUGCCCGGUGCCGGAAGGUUAAUUGAUGGGGUUAGCGGUAACGCGAAGCUCUUGAUCGAAGCCCCGGUAAACGGCGGCCGUAACUAUAACGGUCCUAAGGUAGCGAAAUUCCUUGUCGGGUAAGUUCCGACCUGCACGAAUGGCGUAAUGAUGGCCAGGCUGUCUCCACCCGAGACUCAGUGAAAUUGAACUCGCUGUGAAGAUGCAGUGUACCCGCGGCAAGACGGAAAGACCCCGUGAACCUUUACUAUAGCUUGACACUGAACAUUGAGCCUUGAUGUGUAGGAUAGGUGGGAGGCUUUGAAGUGUGGACGCCAGUCUGCAUGGAGCCGGCCUUGAAAUACCACCCUUUAAUGUUUGAUGUUCUAACGUUGGCCCCUGAUCGGGGUUGCGGACAGUGUCUGGUGGGUAGUUUGACUGGGGCGGUCUCCUCCUAAAGAGUAACGGAGGAGCACGAAGGUUGGCUAAUCCUGGUCGGACAUCAGGAGGUUAGUGCAAUGGCAUAAGCCAGCUUGACUGCGAGCGUGACGGCGCGAGCAGGUGCGAAAGCAGGUCAUAGUGAUCCGGUGGUUCUGAAUGGAAGGGCCAUCGCUCAACGGAUAAAAGGUACUCCGGGGAUAACAGGCUGAUACCGCCCAAGAGUUCAUAUCGACGGCGGUGUUUGGCACCUCGAUGUCGGCUCAUCACAUCCUGGGGCUGAAGUAGGUCCCAAGGGUAUGGCUGUUCGCCAUUUAAAGUGGUACGCGAGCUGGGUUUAGAACGUCGUGAGACAGUUCGGUCCCUAUCUGCCGUGGGCGCUGGAGAACUGAGGGGGGCUGCUCCUAGUACGAGAGGACCGGAGUGGACGCAUCACUGGUGUUCGGGUUGUCAUGCCAAUGGCACUGCCCGGUAGCUAAAUGCGGAAGAGAUAAGUGCUGAAAGCAUCUAAGCACGAAACUUGCCCCGAGAUGAGUUCUCCCUGACUCCUUGAGAGUCCUGAAGGAACGUUGAAGACGACGACGUUGAUAGGCCGGGUGUGUAAGCGCAGCGAUGCGUUGAGCUAACCGGUACUAAUGAACCGUGAGGCUUAACCUUACAACGCCGAAG